UCAAGAGCAGCUACGACUACGUUCCAAGUGCUUCUUACUUCCUCUUCUCCCUCUUCUUUCCAUUUUUACUUUUGCAAUUUUUUCCUUCCUUUGUUCUGUUGGAUUGAGAAUUUUCCAUUUUCGGGAAUUAGCUCCAGAUUUUGAGAAUUUCCCUCCUCGUUGAAUGAGAAAUAUUUUGGUGCAAUUUGUUUGAUAAUUGCUUCUAGUUUUGAAUGAGAAAUAUUGCACAUGACCUGUUUGAUAAAUUGCUUCUACUUCUGAAUAUAAAAUAUUGCACAUGAGUCAUUUGAUAAAUUGCUCUUGUUUUUGAAUGAGAAAUAUUGCACAUGAUCUGUUUGAUAAAUUCCGAAGCUCCUUUGGAAGUUAAUUAUCUCAAUGUCUGAAAAAAAGGAUAGGAAUUAUUUUAAAAUUUGUUUGGCUGAUAAUUGAAGAGACUAUGAUGCACUGCAUUGCCAUUGUAAUAUAAUCAGAGUUAAGUUGGCAAUAAGAAUAAACAAAACGAGUGUGGUGCUAUGUUUGCUUUAAUAACUUUUUUGUUUGUUUCUUUCUGCUCAAGAAGCUUCUUGAAAUAUUUGUUGAUAUAUAAGAGAAAUUUUUCUAUAUUAAUACUUUCUCUGAGCAUUUGUUGAUUACUUUGGGCCUUUGGGGUUUCACUUGGCGGGUGGAAGGAUAAUGGAAAACGAGCAACAAGAAGUAAAGGUUUUAACAACUGGCAAGUUCACAUGGACCAUUAACAACUUCUUUACUAGUCAGGUUGCCAUCAGAUUUUUCUACUCCGACACCUUCUUCGUCGGCCCCUAUUUCUGGCAGAUAGCUAUAUAUCCAGGUAUCAACAUUUAUUUACGAGGCUUAUUGGUAGAUCGAUUGUAUGCUGGGGACAUUGAUAAUGUUCCUGUUGGGUGGAGAUCUCUUAACUUCAAGCUCUCUUUAGUUGAUUAGCUUCAAGGCAAAUCCACGAUAAUAAAAGGCAGUUCAAGAGGUUGUCUGCUAUGGAAUUAUCAGAUUUUGGCUGCUUUCUUAUUAUGAGUUGUGGAAUCAUUCUUCUGCAACAGACAGAUAUCAGCUUAAUAUAUCAUAUGAUCCGUGGUCAAGGAACAAUCAAAUUAUAUGUGGUCUACAAUGUUUUAGAGAUUUUUGAUAAAUUAUGUCAAAGUUGAAGAGGUCAUUAUCAAUGAUUAAAGAUGACAGCAUCACAU